UACGUAGGGUGCGAGCGUUUGUCCGGAAUUACUGGGCGUAAAGAGCUCGUAGGUGGUUUGUCGCGUUGUCCGUGAAAACUCACAGCUCAACUGUGGGUGUGCGGGCGAUACGGGCAGACUGGAGUACUGCAGGGGAGACUGGAAUUCCUGGUGUAGCGGUGGAAUGCGCAGAUAUCAGGAGGAACACCGGUGGCGAAGGCGGGUCUCUGGGCAGUAACUGACGCUGAGGAGCGAAAGCGUGGGGAGCGAACAGG
rnacentral:rRNA from 1 species